UUACAGUUUCCUGUUUCCUUCUUGAUCCUUCACAAGGGAAGAUUUUCUUUUUUAGAGGUACAGAUUCCUCUUAGUCAAGUCCUGAUUAAAACUCCAGCUAAGACAUUAGUAAGCCUUGGUUAGUGAAGUGGCAUCAGGAAGUGCCUACAUUUUCAUGGCCUGGUAGCGUUCAGUGAAAAUGUUCAUUAACAGACACAGGCCAUUCAGUCCCGAAUCCCAAGACACUGAAGACUCUGUUUGAAUCAGACUCACGGGUUCCUUCCUAGCCACUCUCAGGGACAGGAAUGCUUCUGGUGAAGAAGUUUUCGGUGGUGGUUCAUGGAGCUUCCCUACACCAACUUGGAAAUGGCAUUCAUUUUAUUGGCUUUUGUUAUCUUUUCCUUAUUUACCCUGGCUUCCAUCUACACUACUCCGGAUGACAGUAAUGAAGAGGAAGAACAUGAAAAAAAGGGAAGGGAAAAGAAAAGGAAAAAGUCUGAAAAGAAGAAAAAUUGCUCAGAGGAAGAGCACAGAAUUGAAGCUGUUGAGCUAUGAUCUCAUAGCCACCGAUAUUUCUCGCUAAGAAGACAGAGGAAGCAAUCCAUGGGAACUACUUAUCCACAGUUACACAAGAGGAGGGGAUAAUGAAGAAAGUUAAAAUCACUUACUGAUUAAACACGAUGAUAAUAACCAUUAAUGAACUCAAUACUCGGGAAAGGCUUCACAUUUCUGGGACUCAGCAUUAUCCAAAAUAUCUAUUAAGAGCCAUACACCAUUCUAGCUGCAAUUGAUUAUACAAAAAAAAAAAGACCAAAGUGGUUACAAUAAUAAAAUAGAACACAGAGAAAGAAGAAAACUACAUGUGUUACAAUUUGGUAAGAUAAACAAACAAACAAAAAAUUUAAUCACUUUUUUUGGUCCUGCGACACACAUGAUAAUUUUUGUCUUAAUUCUCCUAACAAAUGAUAAUGAAAAGCUAUAAGUAACUGUGUUAUUGCUUCCGUAUCUGAAAUAGGUGAAAGAGGGAAAAAACACUAUAUAUUUUUUCAGCUUUACAGAAGAAAUUUUGAAAGGUUUACAUUCAAUGGAAAUAUUAGCAUUGCCUCAGUAAGCUUUAAAACACAAAUGUCUACGUUUUCUGAAGCAAUAUGGUUUACAGAGACAUGAGUGUUUGUAAAUCUCUCGUCCCAAUACUAUGUAAAUCCUUAAUGUGUAAGCAUCCAGGAACUCUAAGUCCUUGUGGAAAAAGAUAUUAAAGUACAAGGAAAAGACCAUAAGUCUUGCAGGAAGUAAAAACAUGAAGAGAAAAAUGUGGAGAGACAAGUAAACUGCGUUUUUCCGCAGUCUCAGAAUUUAUCCCGCUCUGUGUAACCCAGAAGUGACUGUGAAGGCGCAACCUGUGUAUGUAGCCUGGACCCCACAUGCUCUGCUACUGAGCUUGAGUCAUUAAUCUUCUGGCCACCGAUUUUUCUCUCAAAAAUUACAUGAGCUUCCUCCAUCAAUAAAUAUCUUCAGUGCUCUAUCCAUUAAUUUCCCAUCCACUGAAUAAAGGUUACAACAACUAUUCAUGAGGUUAGGUUUGUUUAAAAAUACAGUUUACAUCAAUUAAGUGGGGUACAUUAGGGAAUUAGAAGGAGAACAGAGAAGGCAGCAGUGAGUGCUUCCAACCCAACUUCAGGGGCUGGGACAAGGUGAAAUUACAGAGAUCACAAACUGAAGAUACUAAACAGGAAUGAAAGGGGCUGGUCUCACAUGUAUCACAGCCUACCAUUUCCAGAGACACAGCUCUCAGGUUCCAAAGGGACUAGUUGACAUCAAUUGCAAGAUGGUUUUCUAGAUCCCACAGCCUUUCUCAACAACAGUUUACAAGAGAAUUAGCCAUACAAAAAAUUAUUUGAGUGACUGUUUUUUCAAUUUUCUGAAGGGUUGUGCAUAACUAGUACUAUUCUAAUUGCACAGGAGAGAAAUUAACUCAUAACAUUAAUGCCUUAGGGUAGGUGUUGACAAACUAAGAACAUAGCUGCCCACCCGUUUUUGUAAAAUUUUUUUUGUAUUUUUAUUUGUUUAUUUAUUUUAUUUUGAGUGGAGUCUCGCUCUUUUGCCCAGGAUGGAGUGCAGUGGCACAAUCUUGGCUCACUGCAACCUCUGCCUCAUGGGUUCAAGCAAUCCUCUCACCUCAGCCUCCCAAGUAGCUGGGAUUGCAAGCGUGCACCACCACACGUGGCUAGUUUUUGUAUUUUUUGUAGAGGCGAAGUUUCACCAUGUUGGCCAGGCUGGUCUUGAACACCUGACCUCAAGUAAUCCACCCACUUCGGCCUCCCAAAGUGCUGGGAUUACAGGUGUGAGCCACCGCACCCGGCCCCAUUUUUGUAAAUAUGGUUUUUUGGUAACACAGUCAUGCUCAUUCAUUUUUUGUAUUGACUAUGACUGUUUUGAAGCUAUAAUGGUAGAACUGAGUAGAUACAGAUAUGUCAUUGCUUACAAUUGCAUAUAAACUUUGGAAGAGUAAACAAGAAAUUGGUAGCAUUAUUUGUUCCUAAUGAGGAGAACUAAGGGUCUGUGAACAAUUGCGGGAAGGAGACCUUUCCAUAUACAGCCUUUGGGCAUAAGCAACCAUGCCCAACCCCAAGUCUCUUCAUAAAGGAAAAUAUUAAUAAUUUGUCUUGGUUGAAUGUAUGUUAAAUGGAACAAAAUUGAUUCCUUUAAAAAAUUAUAGCCGGCAGCAGUGACUCACGACCAUGGGCCCAGCACUUGGGAGGCCCAGACGGGUGGAUCACUUGAGUCCAGGAGACCGGCCUGGGCAGCCUGUAGAAACUCUAUGAAAAAUAAAAAAGUUAGCCGGUGAUUUGCACCUGUGGUCCCGGCUGCUAGUAGGGAGGUGGGGGGCAGUGCUGAGGUGGGAGGAUUGCUUGAGCUCAGAAGGUGGAGGUUGCAGUGAGCCAUGAUCUUGCUCCACUGCACUCCAGCCUGGGUGACCGAGUGAGACCCUUCUCAAAAAAUAAAAUAAAAUAAAAUAAAAAUUAUAAACAAGGAAAAGUCUUAGUUCAUAGAUGAAAUGAUUAGACCUUCUUCUCUGGAGUAAUAGAAAUCGGUCCUUUCUGGAUGAGAACCAGCAUCUUUGCAGCCUUAAGCCACCUGAAGCUUAGUUGGCAUGAGAACGUAGUUAGAAAACUCCUCUUUAUUACUGAGAAGCAAAUUCCAGAGGUUCAUCUGCCAGGACUAACUUGGAUCUGAGGGGUAGAUACCUUUGCUCAAAAAUGCAAAUCUUCAGAGCUCGCGGAAGUGGAAGAAUAACUACAUAGGCAAAGAAAAUGCCAUCUCUGUCUCCGCGAGCUUCCUCUAGCAGGCCGGGAUUUUUCAUGGUCAGCCUGUUUGA
rnacentral:lncRNA from 1 species